UCCGAAGGGGGCUAGCGUUGCUCGGAAUCACUGGGCGUAAAGCGCACGUAGGCGGGUCUUUAAGUCAGGGGUGAAAUCCUGGAGCUCAACUCCAGAACUGCCUUUGAUACUGGGGAUCUCGAGUCCGGAAGAGGUGAGUGGAACUCCGAGUGUAGAGGUGAAAUUCGUAGAUAUUCGGAAGAACACCAGUGGCGAAGGCGGCUCACUGGUCCGGUACUGACGCUGAGGUGCGAAAGCGUGGGGAGCAAACAGG
rnacentral:rRNA from 1 species